CAAUAGCGUAUAUUCAAGUUGUUGACAGUUAAAAGCUCGUAGUUGAAUUUUGGCGCUAGUUGUGUGGUUUGAACUCACGUUUAACACUGCAUGACUGGGGCUUUCCUUCUAGGGGAACUAGUGUGCCAUUAGCUUGGUGGGCUAGGGAUCUAGGACUGUUACUUUGAAAAAUUAGAGUGUUUAAAACAGGCUUACGCUUGAAUACAUUAGCAUGGAAUAACGGAAUAGGACUUUGUCUUAUUUUGUUGGUUUAGGAGACAAAGUAAUGAUUAAUAGGGACGGUUGGGGGCAUUAGUAUUCCACAGUCAGAGGUGAAAUUCUUGGAUUUGUGGAAGACUAACUUCUGCGAAAGCAUUUGUAAAGAACGCAUUCUUUAAUCAGGAACGAAAGUUAGGGGAUCGAAGAUGAUCAGAUACCGU
rnacentral:rRNA from 1 species